rnacentral:rRNA from 1 species
CAGUAGCCGCGGUAAUACGUAGGGUGCGAGCGUUAAUCGGAAUUACUGGGCGUAAAGCGUGCGCAGGCGGUUCGUUAAGACAGAUGUGAAAUCCCCGGGCUUAACCUGGGAACUGCAUUUGUGACUGGCGAGCUAGAGUAUGGCAGAGGGGGGUAGAAUUCCACGUGAAGCAGUGAAAUGCGUAGAGAUGUGGAGGAAUACCGAUGGCGAAGGCAGCCCCCUGGGCCAAUACUGACGCUCAUGCACGAAAGCGUGGGGAGCAAACAGGAUUAGAUACCCCUGUAGUCCCUGUCUCUUAUAC